rnacentral:tRNA from 1 species
CAGUAAAUAGUUUAUUUUAAAAAUAUAAUAUUUGGGUUAUUAAGAAUUGAUACUGA